rnacentral:tRNA from 1 species
GGUGGCCUUGGUGUAGCGGUAGCACCCCGCGUUGUGAGCGCGGCAGGGCGGGUUCGAAUCCCGUAGGGCACCC